AAAGAGCGUAGUUUUGCACUAUUUAUGUCUAACGUUUGACCGUCCGUUUUAUUUGAAAAGCUUUUAUGAUUAGUAUUUUUGUUGUUAUUAGAUGAUAAAAUAUAAAUAAUACUUUAUGUAUGAUUAUUGCUUUUUAUUUUUUCAUAAAUUUUUUAAAUAAAACGGAUGGUCAAACGUUAGACACGAAAACUCACAAUUGCACUUAAA
rfam:Oryza meridionalis cultivar OR44 (W2112) chromosome 10, whole genome shotgun sequence.